rnacentral:tRNA from 1 species
GCCUUCGUGGUGUAGUGGUCAGCACGCUCAAUGCGUAUUUGAGUGGUCCUUGGUUCGAAUCCCGGCGAGGGCA